GGGACCCGCACAAGUAGCGGAGCAUGUGGUUUAAUUCGAAGCAACGCGAAGAACCUUACCUAAGCUUGACAUCCCACUGACCUCUCCCUAAUCGGAGAUUUCCCUUCGGGGACAGUGGUGACAGGUGGUGCAUGGUUGUCGUCAGCUCGUGUCGUGAGAUGUUGGGUUAAGUCCCGCAACGAGCGCAACCCUUGCCUUUAGUUGCCAGCAUUAAGUUGGGCACUCUAGAGGGACUGCCGAGGAUAACUCGGAGGAAGGUGGGGAUGACGUCAAAUCAUCAUGCCCCUUAUGCUUAGGGCUACACACGUGCUACAAUGGGUGGUACAGAGGGUUGCCAAGCCGCGAGGUGGAGCUAAUCCCUUAAAGCCAUUCUCAGUUCGGAUUGUAGGCUGAAACUCGCCUACAUGAAGCUGGAGUUACUAGUAAUCGCAGAUCAGAAUGCUGCGGUGAAUGCGUUCCCGGGUCUUGUACACACCGCCCGUCACACCAUGGAAGUUGGGGGCGCCCGAAGCCGGUUAGCUAACCUUUUAGGAA
rnacentral:rRNA from 1 species